GGAUGUGAGAGCCAUCAGGCUGUGACAUAAGACAUCUCAAUUGACUGCAGGGUCUUAUUUAGUUGGUAGAGUAGACUGUGUUCCCUUCUUCCUUUUACAUCCAUGUGCGUCCCUUCCCCCAGAAGCUGUGAUAUCGGUCAAAGCAAGUAACUUCUGUAAUGGAAGAAGUCUAUUCUUGGUCAAGGGCAUGUGAGUGCACAUGUUCCCCUAUUAGAGCACUAAUAGAACUAUCCUAUUUGAGCCAAACAAGCUCUCAAGAAGUAAUGAGGUGACUCAGUAAGUCGUGGGACACAGUAAGAGGCUGUUUGCUCCGCCAU
rnacentral:snRNA from 1 species